rnacentral:tRNA from 1 species
AAGAUUUUAAGUUAAUAAACUAUUAACCUUCAAAGUUAAAAUUGCAAAUAAGCAAAUCUUA